rnacentral:rRNA from 1 species
CCCGCUGAACUUAAGCAUAUCAAUAAGCGGAGGAAAAGAAACCAACAGGGAUUGCCUCAGUAACGGCGAGUGAAGCGGCAACAGCUCAAAUUUGAAAUCUGGCUCUUUCAGGGUCCGAGUUGUAAUUUGUAGAAGAUGCUUCGGGUGUGGCUCCGGUCUAAGUUCCUUGGAACAGGACGUCAUAGAGGGUGAGAAUCCCGUAUGUGACUGGCUGCCUCCGCCUAUGUGAAGCUCUUUCGACGAGUCGAGUUGUUUGGGAAUGCAGCUCAAAAUGGGUGGUAAAUUUCAUCUAAAGCUAAAUAUUGGCCAGAGACCGAUAGCGCACAAGUAGAGUGAUCGAAAGAUGAAAAGCACUUUGGAAAGAGAGUUAAACAGUACGUGAAAUUGUUGAAAGGGAAGCGCUUGCAAUCAGACUUGCGCGCGGUCGAUCAUCCGGUGUUCUCACCGGUGCACUCGACCGUGCUCAGGCCAGCAUCGGUUUCGGUGGUUGGAUAAAGGCCUUGGGAAUGUGGCUCCUUUCGGGGAGUGUUAUAGCCCUCGGUGCAAUGCAGCCUACCGGGACCGAGGACCGCGCUUCGGCUAGGAUGCUGGCGUAAUGGUUGUAAGCGACCCGUCUUGAAACACGG